rnacentral:rRNA from 1 species
CGCUGGCGGCGUGCCUAAUACAUGCAAGUCGAACGGUCUUUCUAUGGAAGCUUGCUUCCACUGAGAAGAUAGUGGCGAACGGGUGAGUAACACGUGGGUAACCUGCCCAUAAGAGGGGGAUAACAUCCGGAAACGGGUGCUAAUACCGCAUAGUUUUCUUGAUCGCAUGAUCGGGAAAGGAAAGACGGCCUUUGUGCUGUCGCUUAUGGAUGGACCCGCGGCGUAUUAGUUAGUUGGUGAGGUAACGGCUCACCAAGACGAUGAUCGUAGCCGACCUGAGAGGGUGAUCGGCCACAUUGGGACUGAGACACGGCCCAAACUCCUACGGGAGGCAGCAGUAGGGAAUCUUCCGCAAUGGACGAAAGUCUGACGGAGCAACGCCGCGUGAGUGAAGAAAGGUUUUCGGAUCGUAAAACUCUGUUGUCAGAGAAGAACAAGUUGGAGAGUAACUGCUCCAGCCUUGACGGUAUCUGACCAGAAAGCCACGGCUAACUACGUGCCAGCAGCCGC